rnacentral:rRNA from 1 species
CAAUAGCGUAUAUUAAAGUUGUUGCGGUUAAAAAGCUCGUAGUUGGAUUUCUGUGGUAGGCAGCCGGUCCGCACUAUGUGCGAGUAUCUGGUUCGGCUACUGCAUCCUCCUGAAGAACGUUGGCGCGCUUCACUGCGUGGCACGGUAUUCAGGACUUUUACUUUGAGGAAAUUAGAGUGUUCACGGCAGGCGCUUGCCCUGAAUAUAUUAGCAUGGAAUAAUGAUAUAGGAUCCAGGUCCUAUUUUGUUGGUUUCUAGGACCAGGAUAAUGGUUAAUAGGGAUAGUUGGGGGCGAUUCGUAUUUAACUUGUCAGAGGUGAAAUUCUUGGAUUUGUUAAAGAACGGACUACUGCGAAAGACAUUUGCCAAGGAUGUUUUCAUUGAUCAAGAACG